rnacentral:tRNA from 3 species
GAGGCUUUAGCUUAAUUAAAGCGUCUGUUUUGCAUGCAGAAGAUGUGGAUUAGCAUCCGUAAGUCUUA